GGAGGAUUACCCAAGCGGUUCAAGGGGGCGCACUCGAAAUGCGCUAGGCCGGUGAAACGGUGCGAGGGUUCGAAUCCCUUGUCCUCCG
rnacentral:tRNA from 1 species